rnacentral:rRNA from 1 species
GACGAACGCUGGCGGCGUGCUUAACACAUGCAAGUCGAACGGAGUGGCGAACGGGUGAGUAACACGUGGUUGAUCUGCCUUGCACUUCGGGGUAAGCUUGGGAAACUGGGUCUAAUACCGGCUAGUGCAAGAGUAGCUCGCGGCCUAUCAGCUUGUUGGUGGGGUAAUGGCCUACCAAGGCGUCGACGGGUAGCCGGCCUGAGAGGGUGUACGGACACAUUGGGACUGAGAGACUGACCAGACUCCUACGGUGGGCAGCAGUGGGGAAUAUUGCACAAUGGGCGGAAGCCUGAUGCAGCGACGCCGGGUGGGGGAUGAAGGCCUUCGGGUUGUAAACUCCUUUCGACAGGGACGCGGUACCUGUAUAAGAAGCACCGGCUAACUACGUGCCAGCAGCCGCGGUAAUAC